rnacentral:rRNA from 1 species
UGGGGAAUAUUGCACAAUGGGCGAAAGCCUGAUGCAGCAACGCCGCGUGAGCGAAGAAGGUCUUCGGAUCGUAAAGCUCUGUCCUUGGGGAAGAUAAUGACGGUACCCUUGGAGGAAGCCCCGGCUAACUACGUGCCAGCAGCCGCGGUAAUACGUAGGGGGCGAGCGUUGUUCGGAAUCAUUGGGCGUAAAGGGUGCGCAGGUGGCCUUUCAAGUCUGGCGUUAAAGUUCGGGGCUCAACUCCGUGAUGCGCUGGAAACUGGAGGGCUAGAGUACAGCAGGGGGCAUCGGAAUUCCAGGUGUAGGGGUGAAAUCUGUAGAUAUCUGGAAGAACACCGGUGGCGAAGGCGGAUGCCUGGGCAUGUACUGACACUGAGGCACGAAGGUGCGGGGAGCAAACAGGUUUAGAUA